rnacentral:rRNA from 1 species
GGCUUACACAUGCAAGUCGUGGGGAAACGGCAUUAUGUGCUUGCACAUUCUGGGCGUCGACCGGCGCACGGGUGAGUAUCGCGUAUCCAACCUGCCCCUUACUUGGGGAUACCCCGUUGAAAGACGGCCUAAUACCCGAUGUGUUUCAUUGACGGCAUCCGAUAUGAAACAAAGGUUUUUCCGGUAAGGGAUGGGGAUGCGUCUGAUUAGCUAGUUGGCGGGGCAACGGCCCACCAAGGCGACGAUCAGUAGGGGUUCUGAGAGGAAGGUCCCCCACAUUGGAACUGAGACACGGUCCAAACUCCUACGGGAGGCAGCAGUGAGGAAUAUUGGUCAAUGGACGCAAGUCUGAACCAGCCAAGUAGCGUGCAGGAUGACGGCCCUAUGGGUUGUAAACUGCUUUUAUGUGGGAAUAAAUUGGCGCACGUGUGCGCCAUUGCAUGUACCUCAUGAAUAAGGACCGGCUAAUUCCGUGCCAGCAGCCGCGGUAAUACGGAAGGUCCGGGCGUUAUUCGGAUUUAUUGGGUUUAAAGGGAGUGUAGGCGGUCUGUUAAGCGUGUUGUGAAAUUUAGGUGCUCAACAUUUAACUUGCAGCGCGAACUGUCAGACUUGAGUACACGCAGCGCAGGCGGAAUUCAUGGUGUAGCGGUGAAAUGCUUAGAUAUCAUGAGGAACUCCGAUCGCGAAGGCAGCCUGCGGGAGUGUUACUGACGCUUAAGCUCGAAGGUGCGGGUAUCGAACAGGAUUAGAUACCCUGGUAGUCCGCACAGUAAACGAUGGAUGCCCGCCGUUGGCGCGCUGCGCCUGCGGCCAAGCGAAAGCAUUAAGCAUCCCACCUGGGGAGUACGCCGGCAACGGUGAAACUCAAAGGAAUUGACGGGGGCCCCGCACAAGAGGAGGAACAUGUGGUUUAAUUCGAUGAUACGCGAGGAACCUUACCCGGGCUUGAA